CCUACGGGUGGCAGCAGUGAGGAAUAUUGGUCAAUGGGCGGGAGCCUGAACCAGCCAAGCCGCGUGAGGGAAGAAGGUACAGCGUAUUGUAAACCUCUUUUGUCAGGGAACAAAGGCGGGGACUAGUCCCCGGAUGAGGGUACCUGAAGAAAAAGCAUCGGCUAACUCCGUGCCAGCAGCCGCGGUAAUACGGAGGAUGCGAGCGUUAUCCGGAUUUAUUGGGUUUAAAGGGAGCGUAGAUGGGUUGUUAAGUCAGUUGUGAAAGUUUGCGGCUCAACCGUAAAAUUGCAAUUGAUACUGGCAGCCUUGAGUACAGUUGAGGUAGGCGGAAUUCGUGGUGUAGCGGUGAAAUGCUUAGAUAUCACGAAGAACUCCGAUUGCGAAGGCAGCUUACUAAACUGCCACUGACAUUGAUGCUCGAAAGUGUGGGUAUCAAACAGGAUUAGAUACCCGGGUAGUC
rnacentral:rRNA from 1 species